rnacentral:tRNA from 1 species
AACUAAUGAACUUGAAUAAGUUUAUAUUUUGAAAAUAUAAAAAAGAAAAAACUAUUUUCUAUUAGUUU